UACAGAGGGUGCGAGCGUUAAUCGGAAUUACUGGGCGUAAAGCGUGCGUAGACGGCUAUCUAAGUCGGGUGUGAAAGCCCCGGGCUCAACCUGGGAAUUGCAUUCGAGACUGAAUAGCUAGGGUACGGUAGAGGGAAGUGGAAUUUCCGGUGUAGCGGUGAAAUGCGUAGAUAUCGGAAGGAACAUCAGUGGCGAAAGCGACUUCCUGGACCAGUACCGACGUUCAGGCACGAAAGCUGGGGGAGUAAACGGG
rnacentral:rRNA from 1 species